ACACAUGCAGUCGAGCGGAUGACGGGAGCUUGCUCCUUGAUUCAGCGGCGGACGGGUGAGUAAUGCCUAGGAAUCUGCCUGGUAGUGGGGGACAACGUUUCGAAAGGAACGCUAAUACCGCAUACGUCCUACGGGAGAAAGCAGGGGACCUUCGGGCCUUGCGCUAUCAGAUGAGCCUAGGUCGGAUUAGCUAGUUGGUGGGGUAAUGGCUCACCAAGGCGACGAUCCGUAACUGGUCUGAGAGGAUGAUCAGUCACACUGGAACUGAGACACGGUCCAGACUCCUACGGGAGGCAGCAGUGGGGAAUAUUGGACAAUGGGCGAAAGCCUGAUCCAGCCAUGCCGCGUGUGUGAAGAAGGUCUUCGGAUUGUAAAGCACUUUAAGUUGGGAGGAAGGGCAGUAAGUUAAUACCUUGCUGUUUUGACGUUACCGACAGAAUAAGCACCGGCUAACUCUGUGCCAGCAGCCGCGGUAAUACAGAGGGUGCAAGCGUUAAUCGGAAUUACUGGGCGUAAAGCGCGCGUAGGUGGUUUGUUAAGUUGGAUGUGAAAGCCCCGGGCUCAACCUGGGAACUGCAUCCAAAACUGGCAAGCUAGAGUACGGUAGAGGGUGGUGGAAUUUCCUGUGUAGCGGUGAAAUGCGUAGAUAUAGGAAGGAACACCAGUGGCGAGGCGAC
rnacentral:rRNA from 1 species